GGUUAGAGCGCGCGCUUGAUAAGCGUGAGGUCGGAAGUUCAAGUCUUCCCAGGCCCACCACACUCAUCGAGUGAGCAUUCGUCUUCUGGUUACGGGGCCAUAGCUCAGCUGGGAGAGCGCGUGCUUUGCAAGCAUGAGGUCGUCGGUUCGAUCCCGUCUGGCUCCACCAGAUGGUUUGAUCACCGACUACUCAUACCGUCGUCCGCGAAACAUCACUUCGCACUUACUAGUCCGGAUGGACAGUAAGCUGCGUGAUUUCUGACAUCGUAAAGAGGAGAUCGAUCCGAGUUGGAUCGGGCAACAAGCAAUUGUUGCGCGAUACUUCAUUAUCUCCGGAUCAUUUCGGCGCUCGUGCGUCUUCCAGGGUAGCUCACAAGGCUGCAUCUGAAAGACAAGCGAGUUGUAAAUGAUCCUUUUAGCGAAGCUUGACCGCCUCGCUAUCGGAACGAUCUUACGAAGCAAGCUGGUCUUUCUAAUCAUUGUCCGGCUGCAGAUAGCGUUCAUCGAGGGCGCGUGCCUUAGAGACUUAGGUUUCUUGGUAAUUCUGCAGACAACAUUCUGCCGAGUGUGUGGACAUUGAUAAUGAGAGCAAUCAAGUGCCUUAAGGGUGUUCGGUGGAUGCCUUGGCGCUGAGAGGCGAUGAAGGACGUGCUACGCUGCGAUAAGCCGUGGGGAGCUGCGAAGAAGCUUUGAUCCAUGGAUUUC
rnacentral:misc_RNA from 1 species